rnacentral:misc_RNA from 1 species
CUGCUUGCUCAUGGCCGCCCGGGUGGGGAAACCCCCCUGGCGGUACGGCAACACACCCUUGACUAUGUAUACCUUUUGUUAUUUCCCUCGGCGGGCAACCCGCCGCUGGGAACACCAUAAACCCUUUUGUAUAAAGUAUCAAAACUUCUGAAACAAACCUAAAUUAUCA